UACGUAGGAGGCAAGCGUUGUCCGGAAUUACUGGGUGUAAAGCGCGUGUAGGCGGCAGGCCAAGUCUGUGGUGAAAUCGCUCGGCUCAACUGGGCGGGGUCCAUGGAAACUGGUCAGCUGGAGGACGGUAGAGGUGAGUGGAAUUCCCGGUGUAGCGGUGAAAUGCGUAGAUAUCAGGAGGAACACCUGCGGUGUAGACGGCUUUCUGGACCAUUGUUGACGCUGAGACACGAAAGCGUGGGUAGCAAACAGG
rnacentral:rRNA from 1 species